UCCUGUUCAAAAUACAAAAACAGUAAGAAAAUCAUAUAACAUAUUUUGGCAUGUGUUGCAUUUUCCGAGAACACAUUGUAUGUAGAAUAAAACAGACCAAUAUAACAUAGGUGCCGUUUAGUCUGAACCAGUCUAAGUAUUGGUCCAUAAUGGAUCAAAAUUUAUAGCCAUUGGAUUAAUUAAUUUGUAAGCAAAAUAAUACAAUACACCCUAUACAUAAAAUUAUUUCCUUUAAAGUUUUCGCUUGCCUUCUCUCUCUUUCUGUAAUUCUUCAAUCGUAAAUCAUUUUCACUGGAAACCCCAUUAUCCACAACAAUACUCACCAACAUCAUUCCACUUUCAAAUCAAUAAAAAAUUUCUUCUCUUUUCUUCAUAAUAAGUUAUAAACAUCAAUUAAGUUUUCUCUUGUUCUCUUUUACUUGUAAACCUAUAAACAUCUUAAGAAAAAUCUGGUUAGCUUUUAAAUUCUGGAAUUGAAAAACCUAUAAACAUCUUUUAAAGAAUCUGACUGCAUUUAAAUUCUUGAAUCAAUGUCAUUUAUUUCUGUGUUCUUGUUUUUUUUCUUCUGGAAAACUUGAAGAUUCUAAAAAGAAUCUAUCAAAAUCAAAGGGACAACAAAAUCCAACAAAUGGUUCCGAUCUAGCUUUCAACAAUUUUACCAGUUUACAUGAUGUUAGUUUAUUCCAGAAAUUAAAGUUUAAAUUCAAUUUAAAGAUCUAUAUAAAGUAUGUAUUAUAAUACCAAAAUUAUUCAUAACAAUGAGUUGCAUUGGAUUGAACUUUGGUUAACCAUAAAUGAGUAACCAUUGGAUUUAGAGGGAGAGAUGAGAAGAAAGAUUGCAGUUUUAUUUUUGCAUAGUUAGAAUAGAGAGGAUGCAGUGAGAAAGAUAAAGUUGGGGUUGGUUUUGGUAAGAGUGGACCAUGAUAAGAUCUUGUAGAUAACAUAAUCAAAUGGUGGAAAAAAAUUGAUCCAUGAUGAAAUAAUUUUCUUACGGGUCCAUUUUAUACUGAACCUAUAACAUAAUUUCAAAACAUAAAGAUGAAUUUCUAGCCACUAGGCUACUCUGACCAAAAAUAACAUAAUUUCAAAACAAAAUCAACGAACAAACUAAACAAAACUGUAAACAAAUUUGGUCACAAACGACA
rnacentral:lncRNA from 1 species